rnacentral:rRNA from 1 species
GAUGAACGCUAGCGGCAGGCUUAAUACAUGCAAGUCGAGGGGCAGCACAGGUAGCAAUACUGGGUGGCGACCGGCAAACGGGUGCGGAACACGUACACAACUUACCUUAGAGUGGGGGAUAGCCCAGGGAAACUUGGCUUAAUACCCAAUAAAACAGGGGGCCCGCAUGGGCAUAUUGUUAAACAUUUAUCGCGUUAAGAUGGGUGUGCGUAUGAUUAGGUAGUUGGUAGGGUAAAGGCCUACCAAGCCGACGAUCAUUAACUGGUGUGAGAGCACGACCAGUCACACGGGCACUGAGACAAGGGCCCGACUCCUACGGGGGGCAGCAGUAAGGAAUAUUGGUCAAUGGACGGAAGUCUGAACCAGCCAUGCCGCGUGAAGGAUGAAGGUCCUCUGGAUUGUAAACUUCUUUUAUAGGGGGCGAAAAAGGGCCUUUUUAGGUCAACUGACGGUACCCUAUGAAUAAGCACCGGCUAACUCCGUGCCAGCCGCCGCAGUAA